GGAAGAUAGAGUUGUACUGUGACCACAGUUACCUAGGAGUCUGUAUUUUUAGUUUAAUUUUUUAUUGAUCUAUAAAGUGGUGCACCAGAGCAGGCUAGUCCCAGGUAGUUAAUUAUGCAUAAGCAGUUGCAAAGUUCGAUUUUGCCGUAUAAUAUUGAGCCACAUAUUCUUCACAGUAUAUUUUGCUCAUACCUACUGCAGACUUCCACAUGACAGCUGAAUUGCAAACUGUAAAUGGUUGAAGACAGAAGACUUAUUAUAGAUUUUAUAUCCAGCCCAUGAGGAUUUUGACUGAUUCCAUUGAGCAGGCUCAGGUGAAAAACGGAAGGGCCAAGACAAAUUAAGUGACUUGUCCAGGAUCACACAACCAGUUAUUAGCUCUACUGAGAAAAAAAUACACAUCUCUUGACGCCCAGAUGGGUGUUUUGUUUUCGUUAUUUAGCAUUUCGAGUGCUUCUGUACAACAUACCAUUUGUAUUCUUUGAAACAAACUCUUCGGAUAUUUCCAGGUGUUUUUCACAUUUCUGACCUGAGAGAAAGUAUACCUAAUGGUAUAAGUAGACUUAAAAUCUAUUUAAAAUUCUCAAAAGUUUCGAAUGCUGUUCUUUUAGUAACUACUUAAAA
rnacentral:lncRNA from 1 species